UCGAACGGUAACAUUUCUAGCUUGCUAGAAGAUGACGAGUGGCGGACGGGUGAGUAAUGCUUGGGAACUUGCCUUUGCGAGGGGGAUAACAGUUGGAAACGACUGCUAAUACCGCAUAAUGUCUUCGGACCAAACGGGGCUUAGGCUCCGGCGCAAAGAGAGGCCCAAGUGAGAUUAGCUAGUUGGUGAGGUAAAGGCUUACCAAGGCAACGAUCUCUAGCUGUUCUGAGAGGAAGAUCAGCCACACUGGGACUGAGACACGGCCCAGACUCCUACGGGAGGCAGCAGUGGGGAAUAUUGCACAAUGGGCGAAAGCCUGAUGCAGCCAUGCCGCGUGUGUGAAGAAGGCCUUCGGGUUGUAAAGCACUUUCAGUUGUGAGGAAAAGUUAGUAGUUAAUACCUGCUAGCCGUGACGUUAACAACAGAAGAAGCACCGGCUAACUCCGUGCCAGCAGCCGCGGUAAUACGGAGGGUGCGAGCGUUAAUCGGAAUUACUGGGCGUAAAGCGCACGCAGGCGGUUUGUUAAGCUAGAUGUGAAAGCCCCGAGCUCAACUUGGGAUGGUCAUUUAGAACUGGCAGACUAGAGUCUUGGAGAGGGGAGUGGAAUUCCAGGUGUAGCGGUGAAAUGCGUAGAUAUCUGGAGGAACAUCAGUGGCGAAGGCGACUCCCUGGCCAAAGACUGACGCUCAUGUGCGAAAGUGUGGGUAGCGAACAGGAUUAGAUACCCUGGUAGUCCACACCGUAAACGCUGUCUACUAGCUGUUUGUGGCUUUAAGCCGUGAGUAGCGAAGCUAACGCGAUAAGUAGACCGCCUGGGGAGUACGGCCGCAAGGUUAAAACUCAAAUGAAUUGACGGGGGCCCGCACAAGCGGUGGAGCAUGUG
rnacentral:rRNA from 2 species